CAGCCGCCGCGGUAAUACGAAGGGUGCAAGCGUUAAUCGGAAUUACUGGGCGUAAAGCGUGCGUAGGCGGUGAGUUAAGUCUGCUGUGAAAUCCCCGGGCUCAACCUGGGAAUGGCAGUGGAUACUGGCUCGCUAGAGUGUGUCAGAGGAUGGUGGAAUUCCCGGUGUAGCGGUGAAAUGCGUAGAGAUCGGGAGGAACAUCAGUGGCGAAGGCGGCCAUCUGGGACAACACUGACGCUGAGGCACGAAAGCGUGGGGAGCAAACAGGAUUAGAUACCCCAGUAGUCCCUGUCUCUUAUAA
rnacentral:rRNA from 1 species